GACGAACGCUGGCGGCGUGCCUAAUACAUGCAAGUCGAACGAACCGCGACUAGGUGCUUGCACUUGGUCAUGGUGAGUGGCGAACGGGUGAGUAACACGUGGGUAACCUACCUCAUAGUGGGGGAUAACAGUCGGAAACGACUGCUAAUACCGCAUAGGACAUAGGAUCACAUGAUCCAGUGAGGAAAGGUGGCGCAAGCUAUCGCUAAGAGAUGGACCCGCGGUGCAUUAGCUAGUUGGUAGGGUAAAGGCCUACCAAGGCGAUGAUGCAUAGCCGACCUGAGAGGGUGAUCGGCCACAUUGGGACUGAGACACGGCCCAAACUCCUACGGGAGGCAGCAGUAGGGAAUCUUCCGCAAUGGACGCAAGUCUGACGGAGCAACGCCGCGUGAGUGAAGAAGGUCUUCGGAUCGUAAAGCUCUGUUGUUAGAGAAGAACAGCGCAUAGAGUAACUGUGAUGCGUGUGACGGUACCUAACCAGAAAGCCACGGCUAACUACGUG
rnacentral:rRNA from 1 species